rnacentral:lncRNA from 1 species
UGAAAGGCCAGAAGCCUUCCCUUAUGGGAGACCGUUGUCUGAUGUACUAGACCAGACUCUUAGAUUGAACUUUGAUUGUGUAAUAAAUCUGUUCUCUCUUUCAAACAGGUCUGGUACAGGGAAACCUGAUAAUCCUGCAUGUAACAUAUACACUGGGGAAGAAGCAGACCCUGUAAACCCCUCCUGCCAGCUCUGCACUGAGGAGGCAACGGGCUCAUUUCUGCUGCGGAGGCUAGCCUCUGCAACGUGAGUAAAUUGAAUAUAACCGUAUAAUGGUCGUGUCAUUUACGCAAAAGACCGAGGAGCACCAGCUGGAACGGAGGGAAUGAGAGUGCUGCCAACCUCCUUCAGGAUGAACGCUCCUCAGAGUCCUUGAUUUGGUCCUGGAGUGCAAUGCAGACCGAGGGCCUGCUCUCCGACGAGCGUGCUGCACUCCCUGCCCGUCUGCAGGGCCCAUUAGUGGUAAUGAGGUGGCUGUCUGCAGCCUCUCCCCGUGCCCGCAAAAGGAAAAUCAAACCCUUUCCUCUGUAUGGUCCCCACAGGUUGGUCAUCAGUCAUAGCUGUUUACAUGUCAUAUACAACAUCUGAAGUCCCCAAAGUGCACCAAAUAACCACAUGUAGUCAAAAUAUCUUUGAAAAUGUGAAAUAUGCUAC